rnacentral:rRNA from 1 species
CACGGAUCCAGAGUUUGAUUCUGGCUCAGGAUGAACGCUGGCGGCGUGCUUAACACAUGCGAGUCGAAUGUAGUUUACUACAUGGCGGACGGGUGAGUAACGCGUGAGCAAUCUGCCCAUAUCUGGGGGAUAACAGUUGGAAACGACUGAUAAUACCGCAUGAUAUCGUUUGAAGGCAUCUUCUUACGAUCAAAGAUUUAUCGGAUAUGGAUGAGCUCGCGUCUGAUUAGCUAGUUGGUGAGGUAACGGCCCACCAAGGCGACGAUCAGUAGCCGACCUGAGAGGGUGAUCGGCCACAUUGGAACUGAGACACGGUCCAAACUCCUACGGGAGGCAGCAGUGGGGAAUAUUGGGCAAUGGAGGAAACUCUGACCCAGCAACGCCGCGUGAAUGAUGAAGGUCUUCGGAUUGUAAAGUUCUUUUCUAAGGGACGAAGAAAGUGACGGUACCUUAGGAAUAAGCCUCGGCUAACUACGUGCCAGCAGCCGCGGUAAUACGUAGGAGGCAAGCGUUAUCCGGAAUGACUGGGCGUAAAGGGUGCGUAGGUGGUUUGGCAAGUUGGCGGCGUAACUCCGAGGCUCAACCUCGGAACUACCGCCAAAACUAUUGAACUUGAGUGCAGGAGGGGCAAUCGGAAUUCCUAGUGUAGCGGUGGAAUGCGUAGAUAUUAGGAGGAACACCAGUGGCGAAGGCGGAUUGCCGGACUGUAACUGACACUGAGGCACGAAAGCGUGGGGAGCAAACAGGAUUAGAUACCCUGGUAGUCCACGCUGUAAACGAUGAAUACUAGGUGUAGGGGGUAUCGACUCCCUCUGUGCCGCCGCUAACGCAUUAAGUAUUCCGCCUGGGGACUACGGCCGCAAGGUUGAAACUCAAAGAAAUUGACGGGGACCCGCACAAGCAGCGGAGCAUGUGGUUUAAUUCGACGCAACGCGAAAAACCUUACCAGGCCUUGACAUCGAGUGAAAGCCCAAGAGAUUGGGCCCUCCUUCGGGACACGAAGACAGGUGCUGCAUGGUUGUCGUCAGCUCGUGUCGUGAGAUGUUUGGUUAAGUCCAGCAACGAGCGCAACCCUCAUAUACAGUUGCCAUCAUUCAGUUGGGAACUCUGUAUAGACUGCCAUUGUAAGAUGGAGGAAGGUGGGGAUGACGUCAAAUCAUCACGGCCCUUACGGCCUGGGCUACACACGUGCUACAAUGGCUAUUACAAAGAGUUGCAAUAUGGUAACAUGGAGCGAAUCUCAAAAAGAUAGUCUCAGUUCAGAUUGUGGGCUGCAACCCGCCCACAUGAAGUAGGAGUUGCUAGUAAUCCCGAAUCAGCAUGUCGGGGUGAAUGCGUUCCCGGGUCUUGUACACACCGCCCGUCACGCCAUGGGAGUCGGGAGUACCCAAAGUCGGUGACCUAACCGCAAGGAUGGAGCCGCCUAAGGUAAUACCGAUGACUGGGGUGAAGUCGUAACAAGGUAGCCGUAAGCUUCAC